rnacentral:rRNA from 1 species
UCGGGAAUUUUGGGCAAUGGGCGAAAGCCUGACCCAGCAACGCCGCGUGAAGGAUGAAGUAUUUCGGUAUGUAAACUUCGAAAGAAUAGGAAGAAUAAAUGACGGUACUAUUUAUAAGGUCCGGCUAACUACGUGCCAGCAGCCGCGGUAAUACGUAGGGACCAAGCGUUGUUCGGAUUUACUGGGCGUAAAGGGCGCGUAGGCGGCAAUUCAAGUCAUCUGUGAAAUCUCCGGGCUUAACUCGGAACGGUCAGAUGAUACUGCUUUGCUAGAGUGCAGAAGGGGCAAUCGGAAUUCUUGGUGUAGCGGUGAAAUGCGUAGAUAUCAAGAGGAACACCUGAGGUGAAGACGGGUUGCUGGGCUGACACUGACGCUGAGGCGCGAAAGCCAGGGGAGCAAACGGGAUUAGAUACCCAUGUAGUCCCUGAG